rnacentral:rRNA from 1 species
CAUGCAAGUCGAACGGUAACGCGGGGCAACCUGGCGACGAGUGGCGAACGGGUGAGUAAUGUAUCGGAACGUGCCCAGUUGUGGGGGAUAACUGCUCGAAAGAGCAGCUAAUACCGCAUACGACCUGAGGGUGAAAGCGGGGGAUCGCAAGACCUCGCGCAGUUGGAGCGGCCGAUAUCAGAUUAGGUAGUUGGUGGGGUAAAGGCUCACCAAGCCAACGAUCUGUAGCUGGUCUGAGAGGACGACCAGCCACACUGGGACUGAGACACGGCCCAGACUCCUACGGGAGGCAGCAGUGGGGAAUUUUGGACAAUGGGGGCAACCCUGAUCCAGCCAUGCCGCGUGCGGGAAGAAGGCCUUCGGGUUGUAAACCGCUUUUGUCAGGGAAGAAAAGACUCCUGUUAAUACCGGGGGUUCAUGACGGU